rnacentral:snoRNA from 1 species
GCAGUUACGUGUGCAUAGUUUCUAAUCUGUGUUUAGUAAUAUAGUCCAUUUGCGUUCUGCAUUUAGACUGUAUUGCUCACACUCAACCUGUGGCCAAAGAGCAGCUUGAGAUCAUAGUACUGGUUGAGUGAUGUUGAAAGACAAGCUUACCACCAACCAGCCUCCAAACUUUCAAACAUGG